rnacentral:rRNA from 1 species
GAUGAACGCUGGCGGCGUGCUUAACACAUGCAAGUCGAACGGUGAAGCAGGAGCUUGCUCCUGUGGAUCAGUGGCGAACGGGUGAGUAACACGUGAGCAAUCUGCCCUGGACUCUGGGAUAAGCGUUGGAAACGACGUCUAAUACCGGAUACGAGGCGCAGGGGCAUCCCCAGCGCCUGGAAAGAACUUCGGUCCAGGAUGAGCUCGCGGCCUAUCAGGUAGUUGGUGAGGUAACGGCUCGCCAAGCAUACGACGGGUAGCCGGCCUGAGAGGGUGCCCGGCCACCCUGGGACUGAGACACGGCCCAGACUCCUACGGGAGGCAGCAGUGGGGAAUAUUGCACAAUGGGCGCAAGCCUGAUGCAGCAACGCCGCGUGAGGGACGACGGCCUUCGGGUUGUAAACCUCUUUUAGCAGGGAAGAAGCGAAAGUGACGGUACCUGCAGAAAAAGCACCGGCUAACUACGUGCCAGCAGCCGCCGUAACAC